rnacentral:rRNA from 1 species
CCUACGGGAGGCAGCAGUGAGGAAUAUUGGUCAAUGGUCGGGAGCCUGAACCAGCCAAGCCGCGUGAGGGAUGACUGUCCAGCGGAUCGUAAACCUCUUUUGUCAGGGAACAAAGACUGGGACGCGUCCCCGGAUGCGUGUACCUUAUGAAUAAGCAUCGGCUAACUCCGUGCCAGCAGCCGCGGUAAUACGGAGGAUGCGAGCGUUAUCCGGAUUUAUUGGGUUUAAAGGGUGCGCAGGCGGUAGUGUAAGUCAGUGUUAAAAUUGGGGGGCUCAACCUCAUCCUGCAGUUGAGACUGCGAGGCUUGAGUGGGCGUGAAGUAGGCGGAAUGCGUGGUGUAGCGGUGAAAUGCAUAGAUAUCACGAAGAACUCCGAUUGCGAAGGCAGCGUACC